rnacentral:rRNA from 1 species
GCAUAUCAAUAAGCGGAGGAAAAGAAACUAMCAAGGAUUCCCCUAGUAACUGCGAGUGAAGCGGGAAAAGCUCAAAUUUAAAAUCUGGCGGUCUUUGGUCGUCCGAGUUGUAAUUUAGAGAAGCGCUUUCCGCGCCGGACCGUGCACAAGUCUCCUGGAAUGGAGCGUCAUAGAGGGUGAGAAUCCCGUCUUUGGCACGGAACCCCCGGGGCUCUGCGAUGCGCUCUCGAAGAGUCGAGUUGUUUGGGAAUGCAGCUCAAAAUGGGUGGUGAACUCCAUCUAAAGCUAAACAUUGGCGAGAGACCGAUAGCGAACAAGUACCGUGAGGGAAAGAUGAAAAGCACUUUGGAAAGAGAGUGAAACAGUACGUGAAAUUGUUGAAAGGGAAACGCUUGGGGUCAGUCGCGUCGACCGAGACUCAUCCUCGCCUCGGCUUGGUGUACUUCUCGGCUGACGGGCCAGCAUCAAUUUUGUCCCUCGGAUAAUGGCAAGGGAAAGGUGGCACCCUUCGUGGGUGUGUUAUAGUCUCCUGUCGCAUGCGAGGGGUGGGAUUGAGGAACUCAGCACGCGCCUUUCGGCGUCGGGGCUUUGGCCUACGUUCACGUGCUUAGGAUGUUGGCGUAAUGGUUCCAAACGACCCGUCUUGAAACACGG